UACAUUUUGUUAACUGAUUAUCAUCUUGCUCCCAGGAAUGAAUUACAAAAAGCUCCUAUUGGUAAUGCUGAUCUAAUUUGAAUUACAGAUGGGUCCUGCUUAAAGAAUGAACAGGUUUACUCUCCAGGUAUAAGACCAAGAAGUUAUCUCCAGAGAAGGACAUUUAUGAAGUCAGUUUAUCCCGAUGGAAGAUAAUAGGAGGAAGUAAAACUCUUUGUCUUAAAGGAUCUAUUUUGAGAAAUGAGUGGCAGAGCAAAACAUCAGAAAAUUCAUACAGGCAAGAAACCCUGUGAAUGUAAGGAAUGUGGGAAAACUUAUAGUGCAUGUGGUCAGCUUACCUGUCUGCAGAAAAUUCAUACAGGCAAGAAGCCCUGUGAAUGUUAAGGAAUGUGGGAAGGUCUUUAGACUUGAUUUUUACCUCAUUGAACACAGAAGAAUACAUACAGGAACUUCAUAUUAGGAAAUAAACCUGUUAAUGUAACUGUAAACCAAGAAUUCCAAGAACAGAGACCUGGUUGAAGAAAAAAAAAAAAAGAGAAAGGAAAAAAGCGCUUUUAUUUGGGGUUUGUUAGAACUGCUGCCCAAGAAACACAAACCCAAGAAAGUACUCGAAUUGUGUUCUGCUGGACUAUAAAAUGGGGUAGGCUUAAAAAGGUAAAAAACUGCAAAGUUACAUAAGUUGUCAAGAAUUAGGAUGUGAGCUGGCAAGAGGUAAGGGUGCUUGUUAAACAAGGAUGCUUUGGGGUUCACAAUGAUUACAUAAUUGUGUCAGGGGGUGGGAGACUUUUAAAUUACAAGGUUGCAACUAGCAGCUGCUAGCAGAUACUGUUUUGAAAACAGCUGGUGCUGUCCUUGAGUUUAAUACAAUUCAGAGAAAAUUCAAGUUCUGAGUGAUGCAUGAAUGUGUCUCAGACCAGAUCCUCAGUGUCUGCCAGAUUACAUUUUUGUAUGCCUGAACUAUGAAUACUCCAUUAUAAUUUCAAUUUGUCAUCAAAAUAAUUGUGGGGAAGUUUUUAAUCAAUGACAUAAACUUAUCAUCAUUGCCUUUACUCUCUGUGUGAUAGUGGGCAACACAUUUACCCUUCUGUGUGUCAUUUAUAAAAUGGUACCCACCUAAAAGUGUAGUUAAUAGUUUAUAACAUGUACAAUUUUGCAAAAAGUACCAGGCCAAAAAACUCCUUUGAAUGAAUAAUGGAUAUGAUUAUUUUUAUUAUCAACAUUAUACUUAGUGAGUUUCUUAAUAUAAAGAAAGACAUAAUGAAGGUAACAAAAUUAGAAAGCCAUUCAUCACUUAUUGUAUUUCAGGAAAUUCAUCUUUGAUAAAAUCCAUAAGAAUGUAAAGAUCAAAUGCAGACCUCAUUGCUUAAGUUCUACCAGAAAAUUAGAGCUGAAAAGUAACCCUAAGGAUUUAGUGAGUGUGAGAAUAUUAAGAAUAUAGCUCCUGAAAUAUCAAGGAAUGGUGUGAAGAAUUUUACCAAUAAUAUAGAAGUUAAAAGGAUAACAAAGAGCAAACUGCCUAGAAAAUAUUUACCAACUUUAUUAUGAAAAAUUUCUGACAAAAACAUAGAACACAUUCUAUAAUGAACAUCCAUUUACCCUUCACCUAGAUUUGAAAAUUUACUUUGUAUAUUUGCUUCAUUUUUCUAUAAAAUAUAAUUUUUGCUGUACCAUUUAAAGGUAAAUUGUAAACAUUAUAUCACUUUACCCUCAAUAAAUCAGUUUGUAUCCUAGAAGUUAGGAUAAUACAUAUUACCAAAAUAUUAUAAACACACCUUAAAAAUUCUAUACAUUCUAAUAUUCAGUCCAUAUUUAAUUUUCCCUAAUAUUCUCAAGAAUAUCUUUUAACAAGGAUUCACUCUCCAGGCUCAUACAUGUUAGUGGUUAUGUCACUUUUAAACUGAACAGCACUCCCCCCAUCUUUGUUUCAUGGUUAUGUUUUUUUGAAGAGUCCAUCACAGUUGUCUUAGAAUGUCUUGAUUUCUUGGUUUGUCAAAUUUAUUUCCUCAUAAUGUUGUUCAUCUUGUUACACUGUUUCUAAAUUAGAACUUAAGUAGAAGCUUGAUUUGCAUCUUGUUAAACAUUUUUAGCAAGAACACUUCACAGGUAUUUGUGACUGCCAGAUCUCUCAUUAUAAAACUAUCUUAUUUUUUUGCAAUUAGUAAGUAAUUGGGUAAUAAUUUGUACCUCCUCUUGGAAAUGUAUAAUAAUCUGUAUGUAUAAAACAAGUAAUAGAUUAAACUGAAAGUCAAAUUUUAAAUUAUAAGCCAUUCAGAAAGGACUGGUACUGAAAUGUUUAUAUUUCAAAAUUUGUGAGAUGUAGCCAAACCUCUGCUCAGUGUGAAAUUAACAUCCUUUGAUGCAUACAGGAAAUUAAAAUUAAGGGAUGGGACUUUUUGUUAUCUCUCACCUCAGCACCUAUUCCAAUGUCUUUCUCAUAUAUUAGGCACUUGAUAAAACUUGAAAAAAAUAAGCAUUCAAGUGAAAAAGUUUAAAAAUUACAAAAUAAAAUGAAAUGAAUGCUAAUAGAAGGAAGUAGUUAAUGCAAUUUAAAUUAGAAAUUAAUUUUAAAAAACACUUGUAGACUUACCCAAUUUUUCCAAAUUUGAUAAAAGAAAAGAAAAAUGACACAAUUAUAGCAGCAUGAAUAACAAUAGGAUGACAAUUAUAGCAGCAUGAAUAACAAUAGGGAUAUUAUUAACACAGAUACUGAUGUUCUUUGUGAGGAAAUAUUAUGUAAAUUUAUUUCAAUAUAUACAAAAUUCCAGUUAAUGAAUUAAUUAUUGUCUAGAAAGUGAACUUUAUUGAAAUUGAUAAAACAUAAUCAAGCCUGAAAAGACCAUUAAUGAGUGGGAAAGUUAAAUUUAGCCAAAAAGCUCCUUUUUAUAAGCCAGCACUUACAAUCUGUUAGCUCCUUGGAUAAAAACUUCAAGGAGAUAAUCCUUAACAGAAUUUUCCCAGUUCAUGCUGCAUGACUGAUGUAAUCCAGAUGACCAAACUAGAGAAUAGUUAUUAAAAGGCAAAAUCUAGAUGAGUUCUAAUUAAAUAGAAAAGGCAAAAAGCUAAAUAGAAUAUUUGUCAGCAAAAUGAUAUAAAAGCAUUAUGCAGUACAUUCUCAUUUAUUUGAAAUAAACCAGCAUUGGAAAUUUCUAAUUGUGUACAUAUCUAGCUUAAGUGAUUGAAAACAGAACUUGAUCAAUUCUCUUUUAUCUUCUAGAUUCAUUCUCUUAGCCUUACUAUCACUGAUAUUGUCCUGAUUUCUCAAAAUGAAAAAGUGCUCUCUCAUUUUAACAUUUUGAAGGUGAUACAGUUUAUCAGUGGCAUCCUGUAAUUACUUUCAAGUAAAUACCAACCAAGAUUUUUAUGUGUAUGAAAAGCUUUCAUUGGUAUUUUCUGGUAAGAUCAACAGUGUUCCAGUAUCAAAACAGUUUAUAUUUGAUGGAAUGUAUUGUAUGUAUAUACACAUGCCUAUACACACUCUAGACAUAAGGAUUUAAAUUUAAUUUAUAAGAGUUUCUUGAAAACAACCACCAAAACAAAGGCACUUCAAUGUUUUUGUUUAGAUUUUAAUAAAUGGCGCUGGGACUAUUAUACAUACAAUACAUACCACAUAUAGGCAGCUCCCAAAAAUCUAAAUAACUUCUGGUGAAUAUCAGAGAAUACCUGAAGUACUUGGCAUUAGAUCAUCUAAGGAAAACAGAUGAUCUAAGACCAGAACACGAGAGAAUAUACACCACAAUUUAAAAAGUAAGUGUGGCAUAAUGUGAUCUAUGUCUAGGGUUUGUCACAAGGAGCAUGAGUGGAGACAGUGGCAACAGUGAGAUUGCUGGGAGAAGUAAUUUCACCUAGCAUAUCACCCUUUCUUAAACUAGUUAGUAAGUACUAUUGUUUGCUUCUGGGAGAAUGUCAGAGGCUACUGAUUGGUAUUAUUCUGGAAAAAACAGAAGCAUCCCUAUACUUAGGACUAGCUGGCAAGGAAUUUUGUACCACAACACCCCUCCUGCUAGCCUGUCUCUCUCUAAAGACAAAUCAGAGUACAAAUCAAGGCAGCACAUCCUAGUCCUGCCCUGAAGCAGAUUACAUCAAAAGGAUCCUCAAGUGUAAAACUGAGUAUAUGUCAGAAUUACCAAACAUUUGAUAAAAGUUGAUUCUCAUAUAAUAGAGAAACAAAGCUAACCAACUGGAAAUACUACCAGUAGAAUAAACAGAACAGGACUUUAAAGUAUGAAUAGCAUCCUCAAAAUGAUGUGAACAUAUAUACUAUAUCCCCAAAACAGAAUCUACUAGAGAUUACACAAGUUAUUUAAAUGUUUUUGUGAAAAUAACUCAGUAGAGGGACUUCUGUUUCUAAAAAGAUGGAAUACAUGUCCUUUUUGCCCUGUUCUUCCUGCUAAAUACAACUCAAAACUCUGGACAGUAUAUAUGAAACAUACAAGAUGACUCUCAAAGAUGAAGAGAAGCUAGGGACCACAGGACCUAAGGAAUAACAUGGGGUGAGUUCCACAGGUUUCAUUUAUAUCCCAGACUUGGAGCUGAAGAAGCUGGUAAUUGAAAUGCUAACGUGUAGAGACUGAAAAAAAAGUCUCAAGAAAAGCCUAUUCUCUCCAACCAGAGAAACAGGAAAGGACAGCCUAACAAGACAUGAAACUUUUAAACAACUGCUCUACUUCAGGCAAACACCACCAAAAAAUCUGUGCCCCUAUCCCCACCACUGACACCAGAGGCCAAAUGGAGACUCUAGCCCUCUGACCUUUAUCAGGUUGUAAAAAAGUAUCCCCAAUGUCCCCACCAGAUUGUGUCAGAAAAAGUCGAGUAUGAAGUCCAGCCUUUAAUGGGCCCCUCCACUACCAGUACAAUGUCAACGGUGCCUAAAUGGGGAGCCUGACCUUCCAUAGCCAAUGAAAAUAUUGUUCAGGAAAUGAGAAAUCAAGAACAGCCUCAGAUGAAAAUGAUUUUUAACAACAGGCAUACCCUCAAAGAAUGACUUCCAGGAUUUGUUGCCAACAAAACUUCCCCCAAAGAAUGCCUAAAGAAAUAUCUGUAAACAAAAAUGAAACAUUAAAGAAUCGUGGAAAACAAGGAAGGUAGAAAGAACACGAUAAGAGCAAAACUGUGGGUAAAAUAGACUUUCCUUUCCUUUCCUUAAUUAUGUUUGACAGCUGAAACAAAAAUCAUAACACUGUCUAAUGUGGUCUUCAAGAAAUAUUCAAGUCAAUUAGAGAGAGAAGGAAACUAAGGUUUCUACACUUACAGUGGAUAAAUGUUGAACCAUUAUACUUCAGUAUGUACAGCUGGCCCUCCAUGUCUGUGGGUUCCAUAUCCACAGGUUGAAAAUAUUUGAAAAAAAAUUCCAGAAAGUUCCAAAAAGCUAAACUUAAAUUUGCCACAUGCUGGCAACUAUUUACAUAGCAUUUACAUUGUAUUCCCAACUAUUUACAUAACAUUUAUAUUUUAUUAAGUAUUAUAAGUAGUCUAGAGAUAAUUUAUAGUAUACAAGCAUGUGUGUAGGUUAUAUGCAAGUACUAUACCAUUUUAUGUAAGUAGGGAAUUGAGCAUCUGUGGAUUUUGGUAUAUGCAGUGGGUCCAGUCAUUAAUACACUGUACCAGGGGACAACCGUAUAUAUUAUGUCAUGCCUAGAGCAACUCUUGAAAAAAUAUAUGAGACCCACAAAUACUCUAAACAGAAAAAUAGCAGAGUAGGAAACUAUAGCAGUCCAUCCAACCACAAAAGUAAUUAAUAGACUGGCAAAAACAGAAUCAACUUUUUCAAAAAUCUGGAAACUAAUCAAAAAAGUACAGCAUUCAGAGAACUGCUGAAUCAAGAAAAAAACAAGUGUUAUCAUACUAAGUAAGUCAGAAAGACAAAUACCAUAUGAUAUUACUUAUAUGUGGAGUCUAAAAUAUAACACAAAUGAACUUAUCUAUGAAACAGACUCAAAGAUAUAGAGAACAGGCUUAUGGUUGCCAGGGGGGUGGGGUGGGGUGGGGCAGGGAUGGAUUGAGAGUUUGGGAUUAGCACAUGCAAACUAUUAUAUAUAGAAUGCAUAAACAACAAGUUCCUACUGUAUAGCACAGAGAACUAUAUUCAGUAUCCUAUAAUAAACCAUAAUGGAAAAGAAAAAAUAACCAAGUGAAUCUCAGAGCUUUGUGGUAUUUUAAUUUACCCUGGUCCCAUGCCUCAUUCCCCAGCUCAGCAGCAGUCUUGACUACAACAGCCCACACUCCCAAUACUGCUACAUAGAAUCUAUAGGAAAGGGGAAAUCACAAUAGGAAAGGCAAAUAUAUAUUAAGGAUUGAAGAUUACUUAAAUAACCCAGUAUGCAGAUUGAAAAUAAAAUUUUAAAAUUGUAAAAGUGUUAACUACAAUAAACAGUAAAAGGAUAAACAUGAAGAUAAAAAGAGAACGUCAAAAUAAAGUCUGGGAGGAGGGAAAUAUAAAAAUAUGUAUCUUUUAGAACAUGAUUUAACUUGAAUGAUUAUCAGUUUAAAGCAAGUAGAUAUAGUUAUGGGUCAGCAUACUUGAACUCCAUGGUAACUACAAAGCAAAAACAUACAAUAGAUUCACAAAAUAUAAAAUAGAAAGGAACUCAAGCAUAUCACAAAAGAAAAUAAUCAGAAAAAAAGACUGCAAAAACAACUGCAAAACGAGGAUUAAAUGGCAAUAAAUAUACACCUAUCAAUAAUUACUUUAAACAUCAUUGGACUAAAUGCUCCAAUCAAAAGACAGAGUGGCAGAUUGGGGGAAAAAGAAAAAGAACCUGCAAUAUGCUGCCUACAAGACAUUCACUUCAGGGCGAAAGACACACACAGACUGAAAGUAAGGGGAUGGAUAAAGAUAUGUCAUGCAAAUAGAAAAGAAAAAGGCGGUAGCAAGACCCAUAUCAAACAAAAUAAAACAAGGCCAUAAAGAAAGACAAAGGCAUUACAUAAUGAUAUAGGGAUAAAUACAAGAGGAGGAUAUUACAUUUGUUAACAUGUACACACCCAAAACAGGAGCAUCUAAAUAUAUACGGCAAAUACAGACAUGGAGAAAUUGACAAUGCAAUAAUAUUGAGACUUUGACACCCCACUAACAUCAAUGGACGGAUCAUACAGACAGAAAAUAAAUAAGGCAAGAGAGAUCCUAAAUGACACAAACCAGUUGUACUUCAUUGAUAUCUACAGGACACUACAUCCAAAACAAACAAAAACAAAAUACACAUUCUUUUCAAGCACCCAUGGAAUGUUUUCUAGGAUAGACCACAUACUAGGUCACAAAAGCCUUAGCAAAGAAGAGGUCAGAAAUUAUUUCAAGCAUCUUUUCUGACCACAACGUUUGAAACUAUAAAUCACCAACAGAAAGAAAACAGGAAAAGAGACUUAUAUUAGAGACUAAACAACAUGCUACUUUAAAACCAAUGGAUCAGUGAUGAAAUCAAAGAAAUCAGAAAACUCCUUGUGGCAAAAGAAAAUGAAAACACAUUACCAAAUCUAUGAUGCACCAAAAACAGUUCUAGGAGGGAAGUUCAUAAUGAUACAGGCCUUCCUCAAGAAAUAAGAAAAAAAUCUCAAAAAAAAAAACCCCCAAGAAACAACCUAGGGACUUCCCUGGUGGUCCAGUGAUAAUGAAUCUGCCUUACAGUGCAGGGGACAUGGGUUCGAUCCCUGGUCAGGGAACUAAGAUCCCACAGGCUGUGGGGCAACUAAGCUCGCACACCACAACUACUGAGCUUGCAUGCUUCAACUACAGAAGCUGUGUGCCGAAAACUACUGGGCCCACACACCCUGGAGCCUGCGCACCACAACUAGAGAGAGAAAACCCACAUGCCACAACUAGAGAGAAGCCCGCACACUGCAACAAAAGAUGCCACAUGCCUCGACAAAUAUCCUGCAUGCCACAACUAAGACCCAACACAGCCAAAAAUAAAUAAAAUAAAUAAUAAAUAAAUCUUUAAACCCCCCCCACCCAAAAA